AUAUUGGACAAUGGGCGAAAGCCUGAUCCAGCCAUGCCGCGUGUGUGAAGAAGGUCUUCGGAUUGUAAAGCACUUUAAGUUGGGAGGAAGGGCAGUAAGUUAAUACCUUGCUGUUUUGACGUUACCGACAGAAUAAGCACCGGCUAACUUCGUGCCAGCAGCCGCGGUAAUACGAAGGGUGCAAGCGUUAAUCGGAAUUACUGGGCUUAAAGGCGGGUGAGUGGUUUUGUAAGAUGGAGGGUGAAGGCCCCGGCUCAACCUUGGAACUGGUUUUAAAACCGGCAAGGCUGGGUACGGCAGAGGGUGGUGGAAUUUCCUGUGUAGCGGUGAAAUGCGUAGAUAUAGGAAGGAACACCAGUGGCGAAGGCGACCACCUGGGCUAAUACUGACACUGAGGUGCGAAAGCGUGGGGAGCAAACAGG
rnacentral:rRNA from 1 species